GUCGAGAAUCAUUCACAAUGGGGGAAACCCUGAUGGUGUGACGCCGCGUGGAGGAUGAAGGUCUUCGGAUUGUAAACUCCUGUCAUGUGGGAGUAAAGCCGGGUGUUAAAUGCAUGCCGGUCUGAGAGUACCACAAGAGGAAGGGACGGCUAACUCUGUGCCAGCAGCCGCGGUAAUACAGAGGUCCCAAGCGUUGUUCGGAAUCACUGGGCGUAAAGGGUGCGUAGGCGGCGCGGAAAGUCAGGGGUGAAAUCACGGAGCUCAACUCCGGAACUGCCUUUGAUACUCCCGCGCUUGAGAACUGGAGGGGAGACCGGAAUUCACGGUGGAGCAGUGAAAUGCGUGGAUAUCGUGAGGAACACUAGUGGCGAAGGCGGGUCUCUGGACAGUAUCUGACGCUGAGGCACGAAGGCCAGGGGAGCGAACGGGAUUAGAUACCCCGGUAGUCC
rnacentral:rRNA from 1 species